rnacentral:rRNA from 1 species
UUGGAGGGCAAGUCUGGUGCCAGCAGCCGCGGUAAUUCCAGCUCCAAUAGCGUAUAUUAAAGUUGUUGCAGUUAAAAAGCCCGUAGUUGAACUUCAGGCCUGGCUGGGUGGUCUGCCUAACGGUAUUGUACUGCUCGGCUGGGUCUUACCUCUUGGUGAGCCAGCAUGCCCUUCACUGGGUGUGUUGGGGAACCAGGACUUUUACCUUGAGAAAAUUAGAGUGUUCAAAGCAGGCAUUUGCUCGAAUACAUUAGCAUGGAAUAAUAGAAUAGGACGUGCGGUUCUAUUUUGUUGGUUUUUAGAGUCGCCGUAAUGAUUAAUAGGGAUAGUUGGGGGCAUUUGUAUUGCGUUGCUAGAGGUGAAAUUCCUGGAUUUACGCAAGACAAACUACUGCGAAAGCAUUUGCCAAGGAUGUUUUCAUUAAUCAAGGACGAAGGUUAGGGGAUCGAAAACGAUCAGAUACCGUUGUAGUCUUAACAGUAAACUAUGCCGACUAGGGAUCGGACGACCUCACAUUGAUGUGUCGUUCGGCGCCUUACGGGAAAC